GGUGAUACAUCAGGAAUUCUUCCGGGCUCGAUCCUUCCUCGGGACGCAUCAGGCGUCCGCUGGUGCGUGCCUCGUCAAGAUGGCGACGUACAAGCAGGAGAUCGAGGUCGCUCAUUUUCGCGCCUGGAACAAGCUGUUCUUCGUAUAUCGGCACUUCGAUCAUGGUUCAUCCGCUGAGUUUAGGGUUCGGCAGC
rnacentral:misc_RNA from 1 species